UUUUCCCCCUCUGAUUUGCAACCUUGCCUAGCCUUGCCAAUCCUGGUAAAUCUCUUUAUUAUUUCCUAACCAUUGUGUUCGUAAGUUUUCUACAUUAUUUAUCUAGGUAACAUCAUCUUCUUUAUUAGGCGGUAUUAUUAAAGUGAUUCAUUAUGUUUCCGGAUGGGUUUUAAAAGGCAAGAAAAUAUCCUCUACUCCUUAAUAAAAAUAAUAACUGUGAGUGGAAAAUGUAGUCUGGGCAGGCAGAGUUCCUUUAAUUAAGGGCCUUCCUUGCUGGGAGCUCAGCUAGCGCCUGCCUGAGUCAGGAAUGCAAGAUUGACGUCUGGCUAAGAAAGCCUUCACCAAGCGAAAAUGGGAUCCAGCGUCAAGCCAGUGCACAAAGGGGCUGGAAAAGAAAAUAAUCACUGGUGGUCUCGUUCUGUAUUGCUGCGAAACUCUUUUUCUGUAUUUCAAAGCCAUGUCCAAGUAUUUCUUGUAAACAGAGAGACCGUAUUUUGUAAGAUUAUCAAGAAAUUGAUAUUAUUUAUUCCCCGGUAAUACACACGCACAAACCCAUGCAUUUUAAAAUAUGCCUGUACAUAAAUAUCUCCAUACAAAUAUACAAGAAUCUGCCUAGAAUUGCCUGGAAACAGAGACAAGUCUGGGAUAGGAGGGACCUUUCCUCUUCAUUCUAUCCUUUUCUGCAUUGUUUUCUUUACUGUGUACAUGUAAUGCAAUGCAGCGUAAAUGAAAAAGAAUGAGUUUUUGUGAAAGUGGGGCUAGAGUGUUUUAAGUCAAUCCCUGACUUGUCAUUUCACCUUUUCCAUCUGUGAUUAUGUCAUUCUGCCAUUCCCGUGUUACAAUUUCUUCGUUAGCAGUUUAGCUUGGCGCUUUCCUUGAGUUGUCUUAAUGGCAGUGACAUUUCUUAUCAUGAACUUUCUAACGAUAUUAAUGAGAAUCUAUGUUAAUGCCCCACCAUGUGUCAGGCACGGGUCCAAGCAAUUUACGUGUAUUAAGUCCCACAAACCCCAGGGAGAUGGGAUCUACUAUCAUCUGUGGUUUUAUAGAGGAGGUAGUGGAAGAAGUAGAGCUAGGGUUGAUAAUAGAUCACUUCUGAACAGUUCAUCUUUUUCUUGGUGUUUUUCAUCACCUUACUAAGUAAUCCACAGUUUACCGGUGUUUUGCCUGCUAGGUUUCAGGGUGAAUCGUAUUUUUGUGUCUGUAGCCGUCUUGUCAUAACACAGGAGUAGAGUCUGUGGACUGAGAAAUGGUCUGUGUGGUGAAAGACAGACAUUUAAAGGGCUUUAUAAUUUUGGGUUAGUAAUGGUAGGAAAAGAAAACGUUUUCCUUGACCCUCGUCGGGUUCCUGGCUGGGUCUGAAAAAAAUGAGACCGACAUGACAGAUUAUAGGAGAAAGUAUACAAAUGUAUUUAAUGUCUUAGAUGACAUAGGAGCCUUUUUAAGGAAAGAUCUGUAGAGGUUAAACCUGGGUGUCUUUAUUUUUUGAGAUCUCACUGUAUUGAUUCAGUAAAAUCUAGAUUGCUUGUUUAAAAACAAAAACAAAACCCAAAACACCUGAGUGUCUUUAUGCUCAGUGGAUAAGGGGAAACUUAGCGAGGCCUGUCCAUUCAGUUUCCUCUCUGUGCUCUUUUCUCUUUGGAGAUGGGGCGCCCCUUUCCUCUGGCUGUAGGGGAGGCAUCUCUCACAGGAGGAAUUUAAGGGGAAGGUUAGAAAGUUCUCAGAUUCCUUCAGCUUAGAAGGUUUAAUAAGUCAAAGUGCCACAUUUUGCAUAUCGGGUCCCGAUUAUGAACGUUGUCACAAUCCUGCCAAAGAUGCCGUGUUUUAGGUGUGUGGCUCUGCAUCACAUACACAUUUUAACCUUAUGUUAGAAAAAUAGACGAUAAAUUUUAUUCAUCGUCUAUUUUGGAUUCGAAGUGCCUAACUAUAUUUUAGUCUCUGUUCAGUUUUGAAUGGCAUUCCUUCCAAAUUUGUUUUUCAAUUUAUGAUUUUCAGAAAACAAUAGAAUGGAUUAGAUCUACUAAAAACCAUCCGAACAGUCUUUACAAGGCAGCAAAUCUUCCUAAUUACCAAACUUGAAUUGCUAGUUUCUUUACCUUCCUAGGAAUUAGUAUCAGACAAUAAGAACAAAGGUGGAGGUUGCAUAAAAGUCAGAGAAGUCCCCCCCCCCCCCCCCCCCCCGGUCUGUUCCUUGGUGGCAAAUUCCAUCUCAAUACUGUCGAGAAAUGGGAGGUGAGUAAAUUAGCACGUGAAAGCAAGGCCCCUUUCUCUCUCUUCCUCAGCUUCUGUGGGUUUGAUUGGCUUUAGUGGUAACCUUCCAGCAUUUUUCUGUCAAUCAGGCUUGAAACCUUAUUUGAUGAAUAGUGGUUAUGAGAGCGCCAUGCAUGGCAGAGGACUUUAUACUUUUCAAAGUGCUGCUCCAUCCAUGAUGUAUUUUGUUCUUUCUUCCCUUCAUCUUCUCUCUCUCCAGUUUGUGUUACGUUUCUAUUGAUUUCCUGCCUAUUAUGUCUUUUAGAUUCAACCCCUUCAUGCCAGUAACUGAUACCAUAAAAAUCACAGCAUGGUGGGGCUGGAAGGAUCCCUAGAGGUCAUUUAAUAUGAACGUCUCAUCUGUUAAAUGAAGAAACAGAUACAGUAAGAGUUAAGUAACUUUGGCAAGAGUAUAGAUUACCCCUGCCCCCGCCCUGCCCAGUGCACAGUUCCCUGGACCCCUGCUUUCCAGACCAUAGAUAACGUUCUGAUUCCUUAGUUCUUCAGGAGGAAAAUUUUUUUCAAAUUCCAUUUUCUUUUCUUCCUUCCUUUUUUUUUUUUUUUUUUUGUCUUUUUAGGGUCGUACCUGUGGAAUAUGGAAGUUCCCAGGCUAGGGGUGGAGUCAGAGCUACAGCUGCUGGCCUACACCACAGCCACAGUCAGAGCAACACGGGAUCUGAGCCGCAUCUAUGAGGUACACCACAGCUCAUGGCAAUACUGGAUCCUUAAUCCACUGAGCAAGGCCAGGAUUCGAACUCGCCCCUUCAUGGUUACUAGUCCAGUUCUAAACCUGAUGAGCUUUUUUAUUUUAUUUAUUCCCUUUUUUAUUUAUCCCUAAAUAAACUAUUCCCUAUUUUCUUAGAACAUGUAUGUAUUUUAUUUUUAGAAAUUCAUUACAUUGGAAUAUAUGUAUCUUUUGUAAUGUACUGAAGUUUGGGGUGUAUAGUUUUUAUUCACCCAGAUUGCUUAAAAUAUCUUUGGUUAAAAUUGUGCCACUUAUUUUUUUUUGUAUGCUUCUUCACAGUGUUUAAUACAGUGUUCUGAGUUGGUUCUCAGUUAAUAAAAAUAAAGUUCUCUUCCAAGUUGAGUGCAAAGAUAGUGCUUGGAAAUAUUUCUUUCAAGAACAGCUGCUUAUUAAGUGGUUAGUGAUCUUCCUCUACUUCCUCCAUUACUAUACACUUAUUUUUGCAUAUAAUUGUAUUUUUUUCUCAUGUCACUCUAUUACCUAUUGUAGAGGAGAAAAAAAUAAUCUUUUUUCUCUAUCCUUUUUAGUUCUGGACUCUGACCUUUUAACAAAAGACAGAUUAAUGAGCGAAAAGCAUACACGUUUAUUUAAUAUGUUUAAUAUAACAUGAGAGCCUUUAUGAGGAAAUGAAGCCCUGAUGAAAGAAAAUAGUUAAAUUUGAGUGUUUUCUGCUAGAUUUGUUGAAGAGUGGAAAGUUUUGGAAAGAUCUCAGUGAUGGGACAAAGGAUAUGAGGUAAGUGCAGUAAACUAGGGAAAAACGUAGCAAAGGCCUGUGCAUUCAGCUUUAUCUCUGUGUUCCUUUCUCUUUGGAGAUAAGGAUGAUCCUUUAGUCUAGGUAUAGGGAGGGUUUUAUGAUCUGUUUUAGAGGAAGGUCAGAAAGUCCUUGCACUUGCCAUUUCUCAGAUUCCUUCAGCUUAAAAUAUAAAUAUGUCAAGGUGCCAUAUUUUGGGGCAGCAUAUUCUGAACCCCAUGAUAUGAACUCCUUGAAGGGAAGAAAAACUGUGCCUCUGGUGCACAGCAUAUAGUAGGCUUUAAAAAAAUAUGUCUUUCAUCUAAUUUUAUUGGAGACACCAAGCGUUUUAGGAGUACUUAGGAGCACAGAGGAAGGAGUGAUUCAUUUUUCUACAGGUGACACAGUGUUCCAGAAGCUGGACCAACAUUUGAGCUGGUCCUUGCAUUUACUGGACUAGGGGAAGGACAUUUCAGGUAAAAUAAAUUGUGUCACCACGAUAGGGAGAUUUCCAGCAUUUUAGAUGUGACUUUUUCCAAGUUGCCUCAGUUGACCAGUGCAUUGAAAGACUAAAAACAUAGACCUCUAAGGGCUAGUCUGUUUCUUUGGAAUAAAAGAAGUAAAAAAUAUUUUCUUAACUUUUGUUUAAAUAAAUCAUUGGAAAAUAAGAGUAUGCAAGGAAAUAUGUUGAAAAUUAGAUGAAAAUUACUAAACUCAAAUCUGUACUCUUAAUAAAGUGAGGUCACUUAUUUGGUUAAGCAGAAUAAGUUCUUAUUUAAAAUUGCAAUAAGCUCGAUAAUAUAAUUCUGAUUAUACUUUACUUUUGUAAGAUUUUCAAAUAUUUAGUGUCAGUUUUUAAAAAUAAGAUUAAAAAUUUAAUGGAAAAUAAUAAACUUAAGCCACGAGUUACAUUUUCUAUAUAUUUUGACACUUUAACCCGUACUCUAUUUUUUUAAUACUUCAAAAUUAAAGUUUUAGCCACUUGAAAACCAUAGUAUUUUUCAAUGCUUGUGCUUCUGAGCUUCUGGUUCCCUCUAGUGGCAGGAAUGAACUAUGCACUCUUAAUUUAAUGUUUUGAAAAUGCUCAACGCUACUUGAUGUAAUUAAUUCUCUGCAUAUUCAACAUUUCAUUAGGAGAAAAUUAAGCUUGCAACUAAUGGGAAGGAAGAAAAAAUGUAGAUUAAUGUAAAAUCAUAACUGGAAAUAUUGUGGGAACACUCGAUGAAUAUUCAAUUCAUUAGAGCAAAAGAAUCAGUGGGCUUUGGUUUUCAAAAGUUAUUAAGGUACAUAGUUUGGAGUGAAUGCUGUGGAAAUUUUAUCUAGGAAGCUAAGUGUAUCAAAUCAAGAGGAUAUCAUGGACAUAUAGAGUGGAGUGAUAAUUUACAUGGUUUCUUUCAUGUAUAGAUUUUCGAUAAUUAGGGAAUUUCGCCCCUGGGAGGUAGUAGUCUGUGGCAUUCAAAAGAUAACUAAGUGCAGUGGAAUUUCCCCUGGCCCCAGAAAUCAGAUUAUAGCGGUACAAAGAAUAAGAUAACUGAUCAGGCUUCUUUUGAAAAACGCAAGGCAGAAUUAUGCAGCUGAAAACUUUAAUAAAUGAUCUUGGUUCUAGCUUAAGAUCAGUCUUUGAUCAGCAGUCAUCAGUGGGAGGUGGUGCCUGUAAUACUUUAAAGGCCCUUGUUUGCCACCACCCCAAAGACAUUACCAAGAUCCGGAGUCUGGAGGCUGAGUUUGGGCAGUUGCUAUAAACUCUGACUGGCUGUUGCCAUUUAUCCUUGCUGGGCUUCAGUUUUCUCCUCUGUAAAGUGAAAUAGUAAUAAUUUACUGUUUGGUAGUUUGAUUUUGUGCCUUAAAUGAAAUGUGUAGAUACAACUCUUGCUAAUUUUAAAACAACCUUAAAAAUUAGGUUAUUAUUGACAAGUAGGACUUGUUAACUAUUGGUACUAGGUGUAGCAUGGGGAGAUGGGGAGAUGGAGAACCAUUCAGAAGGGAUAUUUCAACCAGGCUUAGGGCAAUUGCCAAGAAAUGUUGAAAAUUUUGCCAGUCUCUGAGUUCAAAACUGUAAUGCAUAAAGGAGGCUAGGCCAGAAAGGUAAAUGAAGGCAUGCAUGGAGAAUUAGUUUCCCAAGGGAAAGGGACUAGCCUUUUUCUCUGGAUCUGUGAACAGUGUUUAUUUUACACUUUUCUCUUUAUACUGUGUAACUGCUAGGCUUCCUUUGGGUCUUUGUUGGGAGUCCUGGGGGGGAGGGGUAGUGUUUUCAUUCACCUUUAUGAUUUGUCCUUGAAACUUUCUAAACACUCUUUUAUAUCAAUUAUUACUUGGUCGUUCCUGUUGUGGCACAGGGGAAAUGAAUCCCACUAGUGUCCAUGAGGAUGCAGGUUCCAUCCCUGGCCUCGAUCAAUGGGUCGGGGAUCCAGCGUUGCUGUGAGCUGUUGUGUAGGUCACAGACGAGGCUCGGAUCUAGUGUUGCUGUGGCUGUGGUGUGGGCUGGCAACUGUAGCUCUGAUUAGACCCCUAGUCUGAGAGCUUCUAUAUGCUGCG
rnacentral:lncRNA from 1 species